ACGGAAGGCAGCAGUGGGGAGUAUUGGGCAAUGGGCGCAAGCCUGACCCAGCAACGCCGCGUGAAGGAUGAAGGUCUUCGGAUUGUAAACUUCUUUGAUCAAGGACGAAUAAAUGACGGUACCUGAAGAACAAGUCACGGCUAACUAUGUGCCAGCAGCCGCGGUAAUACGUAGGUGACAAGCGUUAUCCGGAUUUACUGGGUGUAAAGGGCGUGUAGGCGGUUUGGCAAGUCAGAAGUGAAAUUCCCGGGCUUAAAUUGGGCGCUGCUUCUGAAACUGAUUAACUAGAGUACUGGAGAGGAUAGUGGAAUUCCUAGUGUAGCGUUAAAAUGCACAGAUAUUAGGAGGAACACCGGUGGCGAAGGCGGCUAUCUGGACAGUAACUGACGCUGAGGCGAGAAAGAACGGGGAGCAAACAGGAUUAGAUACCCUGGUA
rnacentral:rRNA from 1 species